AUCAGUAGGGGUUCUGAGAGGAAGGUCCCCCACAUUGGAACUGAGACACGGUCCAAACUCCUACGGGAGGCAGCAGUGAGGAAUAUUGGUCAAUGGGCGCAAGCCUGAACCAGCCAAGUAGCGUGCAGGAAGACGGCCCUAUGGGUUGUAAACUGCUUUUAUACGAGAAUAAUUUGAUGCACGUGUGCGUUAUUGCAUGUAUCGUAUGAAUAAGGACCGGCUAAUUCCGUGCCAGCAGCCGCGGUAAUACGGAAGGUCCAGGCGUUAUCCGGAUUUAUUGGGUUUAAAGGGAGUGUAGGCGGUUUGUUAAGCGUGUUGUGAAAUUUAGGUGCUCAACAUUUAACUUGCAGCGCGAACUGUCAGACUUGAGUACACGCAACGUAUGCGGAAUUCAUGGUGUAGCGGUGAAAUGCUUAGAUAUCAUGAAGAACUCCGAUUGCGAAGGCAGCAUACGGGAGUGUAACUGACGCUUAAGCUCGAAGGUGCGGGUAUCGAACAGGAUUAGAUACCCUGGUAGUCCGCACAGUAAACGAUGGAUGCCCGCUGUUAGCGCCUGGCGUUAGCGGCUAAGCGAAAGCAUUAAGCAUCCCACCUGGGGAGUACGCCGGCAACGGUGAAACUCAAAGGAAUUGACGGGGGCCCGCACAAGCGGAGGAACAUUUGUCGUCAGCUCGUGCCGUGAGGUGUCGGCUUAAGUGCCAUAACGAGCGCAACCCCUUUUCUUAGUUGCCAUCAGGUAAUGCUGGGCACUCUGGGAACACUGCCACCGCAAGGUGUGAGGAAGGUGGGGAUGACGUCAAAUCAGCACGGCCCUUACGUCCGGGGCUACACACGUGUUACAAUGGCCGGUACAGAGGGAUGGUGUAAUGUAAAUUGCAUCAAAUCUUAAAAGCCGGUCCCAGUUCGGACUGAGGUCUGCAACCCGACCUCACGAAGCUGGAUUCGCUAGUAAUCGCGCAUCAGCCAUGGCGCGGUGAAUACGUUCCCGGGCCUUGUACACACCGCCCGUCAAGCCAUGAAAGCCGGGG
rnacentral:rRNA from 1 species